UACAGAGGUCUCAAGCGUUGUUCGGAUUCAUUGGGCGUAAAGGGUGCGUAGGUGGCGCGCUAAGUCAGGUGUGAAAUCUCGGGGCUUAACUCCGAAACUGCAUUUGAUACUGGCGUGCUUGAGGACUGGAGAGGAGACUGGAAUUUACGGUGUAGCAGUGAAAUGCGUAGAGAUCGUAAGGAAGACCAGUGGCGAAGGCGGGUCUCUGGACAGUUCCUGACACUGAGGCACGAAGGCCAGGGGAGCAAACGGG
rnacentral:rRNA from 1 species